rnacentral:lncRNA from 1 species
CAGGUGUUGAGCUAAUGUUAUCAAGCUACCUUAAGCAAAGGAAGAUACUGAUAAGAGAAAACAUUGUGUUUAUGCUUUCUGGCAUAUAAAAUAGCGCAAGUCGUGUUUGAAUGCUUCAGAAAUUAGUAUCAGAUGACUUAGGAACCUCUGGCAUAUUUGAAUCUUAAGUGGUUACAGAAAGUUUUGCUCAGGCUUUCCUUCAGUAGUUGUAUGUGUUUCUGUUUAUUUGAAGGCAGGUUGGUGGAGUCUACUAAUUCUCAGGAGAGAGGAAAAAAAUCCUGCUCUCACUGAGACUGAAUGGCAACGGGGAAGCAGAGCUUUUCUGAGGACAAGAAGUCAGCAGAUGCUGGCCUUCCUGUCGCUACCAAAAUCUGUGCAUGGAUAAGAGUUCCAAAAUGCUGUGAUGUGUGGAGAUGAAGACAGCUGAGAGGUGGUGAACUCAGCAGAGGGGAAUCUCCAUGCAGGAUAGGAUUCAUCCACCUCUACUGAUUGAUACGUGGCCAAAGGGUGUGUGAAGAAUGCGCUGAGGAGGAUGAAACUCACAGAAUUAAGAAACAAAACCCCUGACAACAAAACUAUUUGCUCAUUUCUAUACUGCAGAAAUGGUU